rnacentral:misc_RNA from 1 species
GUGAAUCAUCGAAUUUUUGAACGCAAAUUGCGCCUUUUUGGGAAGGAAUGUCGGUUUGAGGGCACGAUUUAACAAAUAAUGUGCAGAGGUUUUUGUUGCACACGUUGAUGAGCUUUCUUAGAAUUUUAAAUUUUUGGUGGGGCAUAAUGAACAGCGUGAUAGUUUUUUUGAGUUGGAGUGUAGUAAAAUCUUUGAUUGGGCUGUGAAAAAAAAUAAUGGCGCUAUGGGUGUGGCACUAUUUUUGUAUAGCUGGCGCAAU